AUGGGAACGCGAAGAACCUUACCUAGACUUGACAUCUCCUGAAUAGUGUAGAGAUACAUGAAGCCCUUCGGGGCAGGAAGACAGGUGGUGCAUGGUUGUCGUCAGCUCGUGUCGUGAGAUGUUGGGUUAAGUCCCGCAACGAGCGCAACCCUUAUUACUAGUUGCUACCAUUAAGUUGAGCACUCUAGUGAGACUGCCCGGGUUAACCGGGAGGAAGGCGGGGAUGACGUCAAAUCAUCAUGCCCCUUAUGUCUAGGGCAACACACGUGCUACAAUGGUGAGUACAGAUAGAUGCGAUACCGCAAGGUGGAGCCAAACUCUAAAACUCAUCCCAGUUCGGAUUGUAGGCUGCAACUCGCCUACAUGAAGUUGGAGUUGCUAGUAAUCGCGAAUCAGAAUGUCGCGGUGAAUACGUUCCCGGGUCUUGUACACACCG
rnacentral:rRNA from 1 species